CGUGUAGGCGGCGAUUUAAGUCUGGAGUGAAAGUCCUGCUUUUAAGGUGGGAAUUGCUUUGGAUACUGGAUGGCUAGAGUGCAGGAGAGGUUAGUGGAAUUCCCAGUGUAGCGGUGAAAUGCGUAGAGAUUGGGAGGAACACCAGUGGCGAAGGCGGCCUACUGGGCACCAACUGACGCUGAGGCUCGAAAGUGUGGGUAGCAAACA
rnacentral:rRNA from 1 species